GAUGAACGCUAGCGACAGGCUUAACACAUGCAAGUCGAGGGGCAGCGAGGGCGUAGCAAUACGCUUGUCGGCGACCGGCGCACUGGUGAGUAACACGUAUGCGACCUGCCCCCUACAGGGGUAUAACCCGUAGAAAUGCGGACUAAUCCCCCAUAGUCCUGGGUGCUGCAUGGCAUUCAGGGGAAAGGUCAGCCGGUAGGGGAUGGGCAUGCGGCGCAUUAGCUAGUUGGCGGGGCAACGGCCCACCAAGGCGACGAUGCGUAGGGGUUCUGAGAGGAAGGUCCCCCACACUGGUACUGAGACACGGACCAGACUCCUACGGGAGGCAGCAGUGAGGAAUAUUGGUCAAUGGGCGCAGGCCUGAACCAGCCAAGUCGCGUGAGGGAGGACGGUCCUACGGAUUGUAAACCUCUUUUGUCGGGGGAGUAACGUGCGGGACGCGUCCCGUAUUGAGAGUACCCGAAGAAAAGCAUCGGCUAACUCCGUG
rnacentral:rRNA from 1 species